CAGUAGCCGCGGGAAUACGUAGGGUGCGAGCGUUAAUCGGAAUUACUGGGCGUAAAGCGUGCGCAGGCGGUUCGUUAAGACAGAUGUGAAAUCCCCGGGCUUAACCUGGGAACUGCAUUUGUGACUGGCGAGCUAGAGUAUGGCAGAGGGGGGUAGAAUUCCACGUGUAGCAGUGAAAUGCGUAGAGAUGUGGAGGAAUACCGAUGGCGAAGGCAGCCCCCUGGGCCAAUACUGACGCUCAUGCACGAAAGCGUGGGGAGCAAACAGGAUUAGAUACCCGUGUAGUCCCUGUCUCUUAUAA
rnacentral:rRNA from 1 species